rnacentral:lncRNA from 1 species
AUCUUGUUAGAGAUCCCUGCUUAUCUGAGGCCUUCCAAAAGUGUUGCACACCAUGAGUGACAUGGCCAUUUCAUACCCAGGGAAGUGGGUGACUUCAUGCGAAUUUUGAUUACUGAGACUGUCUGCUUCUCAAAGAACAAAUGGCAUCAAAACUUAGCAGAAAAACCUAAAUCACACUGCAGUUUGAUGUAAUUCUAGGAACCCAGUCAAAACCCAGUAGUGAAAGCAGCAAGCAGAGUAAAUAUUAUUUCUGCCUAAAUGUAGGAGUCCACCCAAUCAAUUAUUCCUCGGUACAUCACUUCCAAAGAGUGAACAUCACUUACUAUAAUAAGUGCAAUUUAUAUUUUCAUGAAAAAAAAUGACACUUUCUGAAAGCAAGGAUCUAAAAUGCAUUUAUGUAUUUAUGCAUGCUUCACUUACAUAAAAAGUGCUUAGCAUACUCGAUGUUAAUAGCAAAGCUUCCGCUGACUAUAUUGAUGUAUAUAUUUUUGACACAUAUGCAAAUGCACUACCUGACUUGUGCAUACCAAGCAGGGAGUUUGAGCUCCAGCUUUCUGGGGCAGAAAGUGCUUUUAAUUGGUUGUGAUGCAUAGAACAGAGAGCCUGACAGUGCUAAUCAAAAGUUAACAAGCAGGAAGGAUUUGUUCUUUGAAAGCUGAAAUUUCCAAGUAACCAUUCGUACUUAAUCCACUUGGAGAUAAGGAGGGGAAGAAGGAUUUCAGCUGGACUUCGGUGACCUCUUCAAAAGAUUGUCAGACAUGUUUUUGCUCUCCCAGCGAGACAGGCGUAGUUCUGGCCUCGUCGGGGACACAGGCAUAGGGAACAGACUGCACAAAAGCAAAAGUGGGAAAGAAGUUUCAUCCCGUUUCUCUAAGCUGACAUGUUUUGCUGGAUGGCUGCCAGCCGCAUGCCAGUGCCUCACUGCGUAUUGUUUGGGAUUUGCUGCUUUCAGCACAAAGUGAACAGUAAUGGAAGCUUUCGGUGUGUUUGAAGAUUAAUUUCACAUUAAUCGCAACAAAGCUGAAGUCAACAAGCUGAAUUUAAUUACUACCCUGACAGCUGGGAGGCAAUUAAUGCCCUUAAACUUUCGAGAGCUCCCUUGCUUGUAUUUUCCCCUUGUCUUCAUACUAAUUAGAAACAUGCUUCAGGGUACAGCUGACCAUGGUGUUAAAUUAGCACCUUGUCAUCAGAACCAGAAAAACUCCCAGUUAGACACCAGCUCUUUCACCAGAUCAAGAAUUGAGGCCAUCUCUGAACAGUAUGAGCCCAAGAAUUCUGCUAACCUGUCUGUCUUAUGGUAUCAGCUCCCACCAUAUUCAUCCUCUGGGGCAUGUAACUAAAGGAAUAUCCCAUUUUGACUGCAGCAGGGAUUCUUUUUAUCACUUUAAAACCUUUCAGAUUUCCGUAUUGAGUAGUAAAAAGCAAAAAAAGCUUUGCAAAAGGAAAUUAAUGUGCC